rnacentral:ribozyme from 1 species
CGGAAAAUACACUCGCGGUAAGGAGUGAGUAUAAAAGCAUAAAAACAGGCAAAAAAAGGAAAAAAAAAAAAAAGAGAGAGUAUAUUUAGUGUAUAUGGAAGAAGAUAUAUUCUUAUUCUUUGUGUGCACUUGCAUAUUUCUCCUCGCCAGAUUUUAAUAUUUAUAAGAAGAUAG